GAUGAACGCUGGCGGCGUGCCUAAUACAUGCAAGUAGAACGCUGAAGGAAGGAGCUUGCUCUUUCCGGAUGAGUUGCGAACGGGUGAGUAACGCGUAGGUAACCUGCCUGGUAGCGGGGGAUAACUAUUGGAAACGAUAGCUAAUACCGCAUAACAGUAUAUGUUGCAUGAUAUCUACUUAAAAGGUGCAAUUGCACCACUACCAGAUUGACCUGCGUUGUAUUAGCUAGUUGGUGAGGUAACGGCUCACCAAGGCGACGAUACAUAGCCGACCUGAGAAGGUGAUCGGCCACACUGGGACUGAGACACGGCCCAGACUCCUACGGGAGGGAGCAGGAGGGAAGCUUCGGCAAUGGACGGAAGUCUGGCCGAGCAACGCCGCGUGAGUGAAGAAGGUUUUCGGAUCGGAAAGCUCCGUUGUAAGAGAAGAACGAGUGUGAGAGUGGAAAGUUCACAUUGUGACGGUACCUUACCAGAAAGGGACGGCUAACUACGUG
rnacentral:rRNA from 1 species